rnacentral:tRNA from 2 species
CGCGGGGUAGAGCAGCUCGGUAGCUCGCAAGGCUCAUAACCUUGAGGUCGUUGGUUCAAAUCCAACCCCCGCAACAA